ensembl:miRNA mdo-mir-7398e mdo-mir-7398e
AGUGUAGAGAAGGGUGAAAAUGCUGUGUUCUGUCAGGUAAUUCUCCCUUCUCUUACUGU